AGAUGCAUCUGCAAUCUACACCACAGCUCAUGGCAAUGCUGGAUCCUUAAUCAAUGAGAGAGUAAUCCGAGAUGCUGCUUCCUAUCUGUGAAACCUUCCCAAUAUGGCAGACUCUGCUGGAUCCCUCGCUAUGAAGAAAAGAUGCCACCUUGUGGAAAGACACAAUAACACAACAAGAAAACAACAGGAAAAAGUUGGCCUCCUGAGCAACCUCCUAUACAAGGUCAGUGUGUUAAGUGCUUUACCAUGUAGACUUCUCGUUUAAUUCUCAAAUGUUGGAAGUGAAGUGUUAUUGUACCCCUUUUACAGAUAAGGAAACUGAGGCUCACCAAAACUAAAUAAUUGGCUAAAGAACAGGAAGGUGAAAAGCAGAGAAAUAUGUUUUUCUGAUGCCAAAGCCCUUACUCAUUCUUUCCUACAUCAUGCUUCCAGAAUGAAUUAUGUAAACAGAAGGGGACAGCCAUUGUUCAAAAAAUACUCUUUUGCGUUUAGAAUUCAUUUCUUGUGAUGUGAUGGAAGUCACUCCUUUAGAUUUAAGUUGAGGGUUCUGUAGGAAGGGAGGGAGGAAGACGUUUUCACGAAAAUUUUCUGGGCUGUAUUAUUUAUGGAUCUGAUUAUUGGCUUCAUUAUCUUCCCAAUGGAUGGAGAGCUUGAAUAUCUCAGUUGUUUUGAAUUUUCUUGAGAAAAAGACACUUGAAACAAUCUUCAAUCUUAAACUAAGACUCUAACCUUAAUUAAAUAAUUUGAAUAUUCUUCUAUAAAACUGAAUUCAUCUAAAACAUGUCCUUUCAGCCUAUGUAUUUGACAUGAGUUUUUCCAGUUUGUUAAUUAAUAUGACACAUUUUUGGUAUGAUUCCUCUGUCUUUCCAGCCUGAUUGGGCACUGAAUCUUAUUAAAAUGAAUCAGCAUUUCUCUGAGUGGACAUUGGGUCUAAAGGAUCCGAAGCAGAAUUGGGCCUUGGUGAUUAAAUAGUAUGUUAGAUGCUAUCUGGUUUUUUUUUUUAUGAUUUUAUGAGUGUAUUAACUUAUCAUCUGCACUGGCAGUGACCUUCAAGGAAAGAAUGUAAAAUACACAAGAAAUUCUGGUUAUUUGAGAAAUAGUGAAGUGAUGACAGAUGGAUAAUGAAUAAAUGGUUAUUACAGAUCAUCGAGUACCCAGGUUGACUUAGGACAUGAAUAAUAGGGGAGGAGAAGAGGAGAAAGUGAAGGAGCAAGCUCCCUGAGAAUGUGGAAGGAGAAAGAACCCCAGGCACAGACGGCUGAACUAGUUUUUGACAGACUAUGAAGCCAAGCUAAGGACUUAAUCUAAUUGUGUCCUGUUACAAGGAGAACAGAUCCUUACUGAAUUUAUGUAAGUACAUAUAUUAUCAUAAAAAACUAGAACAUCUUAAUUAGGGUUUCUGAAUUUUGGAGGGAUUAGGUAGGGAGAAAAAAAAGUUUCAACUUUUGUGUACAAAAACUAUAUCCAUUUGCUAUAAAUUAUAGAUAACUUAAAAGAGAGGAUAAAAAGGGAUCCUUUAAAUCUAGAAGAUAAAACAUUAAAGAAUCAGCAAUGUUUUAAAUGAAGGCAUAAAAAUUAGAAUAAUUUUCAUCAGUUUAUCUAGUCUCAUGUAAUUAAUUCUUAUUUUAUUUAACAUGGGUUGUCAGCUUUAUGACUCUAUCAAUUUUUUAGUAGAGUUUUAGAAAUUCUUACCCAGUAGAGUAUUAUGAUCUUAAAGUUAUCAGAAACUUGUAUUGUAUUGUACUUGUCAGUGACUUUUCCAUGAUUCUCUUUGAAGACAAAGCAUUUCUACCUGUAGUUGAUUUGUUAAUGCUUUCAGAGAAGAAAAAGUAAAACAAUGUCUAUGAGUGACAGCGAUUUAAAUAAGCUACAGUUAAAGAGCUGGUGAAAGUACACACACACACACACACACACACACAAAUGUAAUUGAAAAGCAAAUUGUUAUUUUUAAAAUAUACAGUAUUGUAAAGUAACUGGAUUUAUGACAGAUAAUGUUAUAUCAGGAUAUAGAUUUUUAGGAAUUCAUAUAAUUUCUGACUAAUAUUAAUGAUAUGUAUUCAUAUAAAUAUAAUCUAAGAAGGUUAAACAUAAAUUUUUAUUGGACAUUGUUUUGCAUGCAACUUAACAUGUAUAUUCUUUUUCAGAUUCUUUUCCAUUGUAAGUUAUUACAAGAUAUUGAGUACCUACUGUGCUAUACAGUAGGUCCUUGUUUUUUUUAAAUCUAUUUUAUAUAUUGUAGUGCAUACCUGUUAAUCCCAAACUUCUAAAUUAUACCUCUCCCCCCUUUUAUUUCUUUUUCUAGAAUAACCAGCUAUUUUAUUUUAGACAGCAUUACUCUUUUUUCCUUCACAAAAACAUAUCCUACAUUCUGUGCAUACUCUUCAUUAAAAAAAAAAAAGCUCCAUUUGCUUCCCAUACUUUGUGCAAGUUGUCCCCCUUCACUCUUACUAUUUCUAGUAGCUUUAUAUUUACAUAUUGAUUACUAAUUUUAACUAUUAGUAAUCUUUACUUUCCAGUGAGAAAUAGGAAGCAGGCAACUAUCAGCUCUAUCAUAUAUUAGCAUCCCAUAGAAGGUCAACACAUUUAUAAAUAUAUAAUUGUAAAACAAUUUUUAGACACAUAUUUUCAUAGCACAGUUUUUUAAUGUGGCAAAAGGCUUUUUCUUCUUUUUUUUUU